UGCCCAGCAACUCCUAUCCCUACCUCCUCGUGGUACUGGCCGGGGUUCGAGCAACCUUAAGGAAGAUCGGGUAACCAACCCCGGUGGAAACUUUGGUCGUAUGCUGACAGGGAAGG
rnacentral:ribozyme from 1 species